rnacentral:lncRNA from 1 species
AAUUCCUCCCGGAUUUUCAAAGAUAACAUUCCUCCUACCACAACCACUGUCAACAACCAAAGCAAUGAUACCAUUGUUUUCGAAGUAUCCAAUACGCAGGAAUCUACUGAAUCGAAUUUUAUAUCAGUGACUGGUUUCGCGGAGGAGGAACUUCCAGAAGUUGUUCAGGUAGACCCGCUCGCGAAUAGCACUCCAACUUCUUCCAAAUCUAACUCUAAUACUGAGGUCAUCACUGAUGUCAUCAACCCAACUCCAUUUUUACAAGCAAAAGUCGAAGAAUACUGUGAGAAACUCAGUAAUCUAUUUGAUAACUCCACUGUCCAUGGCAAACUUUUAAGUAUUUAUGCCAGUGAAAAACGUCCAUUAACUGAGGAUGUGCGUGCUACCUUAGUAGAUUUAAUUGUAAAGUCUGAGUUGAGUGCACAUCCAAAAUUUAAAGUGCCUUCUUCAGUAUUUAAGUAUUAUAGCUUGGCCAUUGAAAAAACGUUUGUCGGGGAAAAAGCUAGUGCUUAUUUUAUAGACUAUGUUUAUCUCGGCAACAAUAAGAAGAAAAGUGCCCGAGGCAAAUUAGUAGAUAAAUAUGGCAACAAAAGAACAGCGCUCAGGCGUUUGAAGCUCCUACCCCCCAUCAAGAAAUCUGAACAGGAAGAAUUGGCAACCGAAGAAUCAAAUGAUAAUAAUCUUAUUCUGGACGAAAACUUAACCUGGUUGGAGAAUAAUGUUGAGCCUUGGCCGCUAAUUGUAAAAAAGUGGCGAGAGACAUUUGCAAAGCGUAUUCCAUUAUUACGCACGACACUGAGCAUCCAAGCCUUCCUGAAUAAAUUUCCGUGUCUACAGUUGUCUGAUAAAGGAUUUGAAUUGGUAUGUUUUCGAAAUUGUUUAUCUAAUCCUCAUAUAUUUGCGCUUUAUACUUUGUAUCAAAAACUUCAAAUAUUGCCAUACCUCAUUAUCUAAAAGACAGUGAGUUAAAAAAAAUUAAAACAACUUUUUUGAUAAGAUCUCAUUUACGUUUUUUCAGUGACUAAAUUGUGAAUGAAUGUUUGCCUAGAUUGAAUCCAAAUGGUUUGGGGUGCUUGGUUCUUUUUAUUUUUCUUACUUCUGAAAAAAUAUUGAAACUGAGAGCGACAUAAGCCUCUGUAAUUGAUGUUUUUUUUUUUGGGGGGGGGGGGGGGUUCUCAUAAUGCUGAACAGAGUGAUUACAGCCAGACAAGCCAGCGGUAGGCCAGCC